rnacentral:rRNA from 1 species
UACGGGGGGAGCAAGCGUUGUUCGGAUUUACUGGGCGUAAAGGGCGCGUAGGCGGCCACCGCAAGUCGAUUGUGAAAUCUCCGGGCUUAACCCGGAAAGGUCAGUCGAUACUGCGGGGCUAGAGUGCAGAAGGGGCAACUGGAAUUCUCGGUGUAGCGGUGAAAUGCGUAGAUAUCGAGAGGAACACCUGCGGCGAAGGCGGGUUGCUGGGCUGACACUGACGCUGACAGCGCGAAAGCUAGGGGAGCGAACGGG